CUGGUCUUGACAUCCACGGAAGUUUUCAGAGAUGAGAAUGUGCCUUCGGGAACCGUGAGACAGGUGCUGCAUGGCUGUCGUCAGCUCGUGUUGUGAAAUGUUGGGUUAAGUCCCGCAACGAGCGCAACCCUUAUCCUUUGUUGCCAGCGGUCCGGCCGGGAACUCAAAGGAGACUGCCAGUGAUAAACUGGAGGAAGGUGGGGAUGAUGUCAAGUCAUCAUGGCCCUUACGACCAGGGCUACACACGUGCUACAAUGGCGCAUACAAAGAGAAGCGACCUCGCGAGAGCAAGCGGACCUCAUAAAGUGCGUCGUAGUCCGGAUUGGAGUCUGCAACUCGACUCCAUGAAGUCGGAAUCGCUAGUAAUCGUGGAUCAGAAUGCCACGGUGAAUACGUUCCC
rnacentral:rRNA from 1 species